rnacentral:rRNA from 1 species
AUUGAACGCUGGCGGCAGGCCUAACACAUGCAAGUCGAACGAGUGGCGGACGGGUGAGUAAUGUCUGGGAAACUGCCCGAUGGAGGGGGAUAACUACUGGAAACGGUAGCUAAUACCGCAUACCAUCGGAUGUGCCCAGAUGUGCUUAGCGAGUAGGUGGGGUAAUGGCUCACCCAGGCGACGAUCCCUAGCUGGUCGGAGAGGAUGACCAGCCACGACGGAACUGAGACACGGUCCAGACUCCUACGGGAGGCAGAAGUGGGGAAUAUUGCACAAUGGGCGCAAGCCUGAUGCAGCCAUGCCGCGUGUAUGAAGAAGGCCUUCGGGUUGUAAAGUACUUUCAGCGGGGAGGCGUUACGCGCAGAAGAAGCACCGGCUAACUCCGUGCCAGCAGCCGCGGUAAUAG